rnacentral:ncRNA from 1 species
CUGAUCGAGACGCUGGGCCAACGCCAGUGCAGCGCGCCCGGUUUCCGGGAUAAAUCUUCCCGGGAGCGUCAGAGAGUCAG